AAGCAACCAGCCUGUCAUCGGCCGCUCAACAAUUAAUGGCUUGGACAUUGAUAUACGACGCUUUGCGGGUACCGUGCCAAAUGCAACAACAAAAGGUGACAUCGAGAGCAUGGCGAUGUAUGCAGGGCAAGGAGUUGGACUAAUCAGGGAGAUUCUACCUGCAGGAGAAGUGGUAAGGAGGCUGGUUGAAGGGGCUCAACAUCUGAUCCAAACACAUUUUAGUAGUUUUGUUCAUAAAGAUUGAUGCACA
rnacentral:misc_RNA from 1 species